GACGAACGCUGGCGGCGUGCUUAACACAUGCAAGUCGAACGGAAAGGCCCUGCUUUUGUGGGGUGCUCGAGUGGCGAACGGGUGAGUAACACGUGAGUAACCUGCCCUUGACUUUGGGAUAACUUCAGGAAACUGGGGCUAAUACCGGAUAGGAGCUCCUGCUGCAUGGUGGGGGUUGGAAAGUUUCGGCGGUUGGGGAUGGACUCGCGGCUUAUCAGCUUGUUGGUGGGGUAGUGGCUUACCAAGGCUUUGACGGGUAGCCGGCCUGAGAGGGUGACCGGCCACAUUGGGUCUGAGAUACGGCCCAGACUCCUACGGGAGGCAGCAGUGGGGAAUAUUGCACGAUGGGCGGAAGCCUGAUGCAGCAACGCCGCGUGCGGGAUGGCGGCCUUCGGGUUGUAAUCCGCUUUCGCCUGUGACGGAGCGUGAGUGACGGUAAUGGGUAAAGAAGCACCGGCUAACUACGUG
rnacentral:rRNA from 1 species